GGAAAUUGAAGGUUGAUACAUCUAGUAACAGCAAAGUUGCAAAAACGUAGCUCAGGUGGGAAUAGGAUAGCAAAAUCAACACAUUUAUGUACUUUCAUCUUAUGAAGUUGAAGCCCUAGGUAGGUAUCACUUUGUUGUCAAUACAUAUCAUCCAACCACAGAAAUUGUAUGGGCAUACAAUGAUUCUAUACCAAGAAGAUUACAUGGACCAGCACAUGGACUAUAUAGUUUUACAAGUUAAUUUGGUCCAAAGACAGGGCAAUUAAUGUCUCCAAUUCAACAUCUUCAACGUGUUGCUGCCAGCUAAAGCCAUGACUAACAAGAGAAUGGAAAGUUUCCCCAUUUAAAGGUACCAGUAGCCCUUAAAAGCAGGAUAUAUUCUUUAUUUCAGAGAAGAAACUUAAAAGAUCAUGUUAAAAACUGUUGAUCUCUACACAUCUGCCAACACUUCUAUAAUCAGUCAGACAGUCACAAA
rnacentral:misc_RNA from 1 species